AGCGAACGCUGGCGGCGUGCCUAACACAUGCAAGUCGAACGUGAAAAGGGGCAACCCUGAGUAAAGUGGCGUACGGGUGAGUAACACGUAGGUAAUCUACCUGAGAGUCUGGAAUAACCGGCCGAAAGGCUGGCUAAUACUGGAUAGAGCGACGAAAUCCGUAAUUGGGUUUCUCGGGAAAGGGAGGAAGCAAUUCCCUUCGCUCUCAGAUGAGCCUGCGUCCCAUCAGCUAGUUGGUAAGGAAUGGCUUACCAAGGCAAUGACGGGUAGCUGGUCUGAGAGGAUGAUCAGCCACACUGGAACUGAAACACGGUCCAGACUCCUACGGGAGGCAGCAGUGGGGAAUCUUGCGCAAUGGACGAAAGUCUGACGCAAGCCACGCCGCGUGAGUGAAGAAGGCCU
rnacentral:rRNA from 1 species